rnacentral:rRNA from 1 species
UACGAAGGGUGCAAGCGUUACUCGGAAUUACUGGGCGUAAAGCGUGAGUAGGUGGUUUCUUAAGUCUGCUGUGAAAGCCCCGGGCUCAACCUGGGAAUUGCAGUGGAUACUGGGGAGCUAGAGUGCGGUAGAGGGUAGUGGAAUUCCCGGGUGUAGCGGUGAAAUGCGUAGAGAUCGGGAGGAACACCAGUGGCGAAGGCGGCGUCCUGGACCG